GAUGAACGCUAGCGGCAGGCUUAACACAUGCAAGUCGAGGGGCAGCACGUUCAGCGAUGGACGGUGGCGACCGGCGUACGGGUGCGUAACGCGUGAGCAACCUACCCAUGUCAAUGGGAUAACCCGGAGAAAUUCGGAUUAAUACCGUAUGAUGUUAUAUAGGGGCAUCUUUAUAUAAUGAAAGCUUUGGUGGAUAUGGAUGGGCUCGCGUGGCAUUAGUUAGAUGGUGGGGUAACGGCUCACCAUGGCGAUGAUGUCUAGGGGUUCUGAGAGGAAGGCCCCCCACACUGGGACUGAGACACGGCCCAGACUCCUACGGGAGGCAGCAGUGAGGAAUAUUGGACAAUGGUCGGAGGACUGAUCCAGCCAUGCCGCGUGCAGGAAGACGAUCCUAUGGAUUGUAAACUGCUUUUAUGAGGGAGCAAUAAGUACUACGGGUAGUAUGAUGAGAGUACCUUAUGAAUAAGCAUCGGCUAACUCCGUGCCAGCAGCCGCGGUAAUACGGGGGAUGCGAGCGUUAUCCGGAUUUAUUGGGUUUAAAGGGUGCGUAGGCGGUUGAAUAAGUCAGUGGUGAAAUUUUGCAGCUUAACUGUAAAUGUGCCAUUGAUACUGUUUAGCUGGAAAGUAGUUGAAGUGAGUGGAAAGUGUGGNGAUCAAACAGGAUUAGAUACCCUGGUAGUCCACACUGUAAACGAUGAUCACUCGUUGUUGGCGAUAUACUGUCAGUGACCAAGCGAAAGCGAUAAGUGAUCCACCUGGGGAGUACGACCGCAAGGUUGAAACUCAAAGGAAUUGACGGGGGCCCGCACAAGCGGAGGAACAUGUGGUUUAAUUCGAUGAUACGCGAGGAACCUUACCCGGGCUCGAACGGCAGAGGGAUAUGUAAGAGAUUGCAUAGCCGCAAGGCUUCUGUCGAGGUGCUGCAUGGUUGUCGUCAGCUCGUGCCGUGAGGUGUCGGCUUAAGUGCCAUAACGAGCGCAACCCUUGUUGUCAGUUGCCAUCAGGUAAAGCUGGGGACUCUGGCGAGACUGCCACCGUAAGGUGCGAGGAAGGGGGGGAUGACGUCAAAUCAGCACGGCCCUUACGUCCGGGGCGACACACGUGUUACAAUGGGUGGUACAGAGGGCAGCUACACAGUGAUGUGAUGCCAAUCUCGAAAGCCAUUCUCAGUUCGGAUUGGAGUCUGCAACCCGACUCCAUGAAGUUGGAUUCGCUAGUAAUCGCGCAUCAGCCAUGGCGCGGUGAAUACGUUCCCGGGCCUUGUACACACCGCCCGUCAAACCAUGGGAGCUGGGGGUGCCUGAAGUCUGUGACCGCAAGGAGCGGCCUAGGGUAAAACCAGUGACUGGGGUU
rnacentral:rRNA from 1 species